AUUGAACGCUGGCGGCAGGCCUAACACAUGCAAGUCGAGCGGUUGAGGUAGCUUGCUACCGAUGCAGCGGCGGACGGGUGAGUAAUACAUGGGAAUCUGCCUGGUAGUGGGGGACAACGUCUCGAAAGGAACGCUAAUACCGCAUACGCCCUACGGGGGAAAGGGGGGAUCGCAAGACCUCUCGCUAUCAGGUGAGCCCA
rnacentral:rRNA from 1 species